GAUGAACGCUGGCGGCGUGCCUAAUACAUGCAAGUCGAGCGAACGGACGAGAAGCUUGCUUCUCUGAUGUUAGCGGCGGACGGGUGAGUAACACGUGGAUAACCUACCUAUAAGACUGGGAUAACCUCGGGAAACCGGAGCUAAUACCGGAUAAUAUUUUGAACCGCAUGGUUCAAAAGUGAAAGACGGUCUUGCUGUCACUUAUAGAUGGAUCCGCGCUGCAUUAGCUAGUUGGUAAGGUAACGGCUUACCAAGGCAACGAUGCAUAGCCGACCUGAGAGGGGGAUCGGCGACCUUGGAGGGGAGACACGGUCCAGACGCCUACGGGAGGCAGCAGUAGGGAAUCUGCCGCAGUGGGCGAAAGCCUGACGGAGCAACGCCGCGUGAGUGAUGAAGGUCUUCGGAUCGUAAAACUCUGUUAUUAGGGAAGAACAUAUGUGUAAGUAACUGUGCACUUCGUGACGGUACCUAGUCAGAAAGCCACGGCUAACUACGUG
rnacentral:rRNA from 1 species